rnacentral:rRNA from 1 species
GAUGAACGCUGGCGGCGUGCCUAAUACAUGCAAGUAGAACGCUGAAGGAGGAGCUUGCUCUUCUGGAUGAGUUGCGAACGGGUGAGUAACGCGUAGGUACCUGCCUGGUAGCGGGGGAUAACUAUUGGAAACGAUAGCUAAUACCGCAUGACAACAGUUAUUGCAUGAUAACUGUUUAAAAGGGGCAACUGCUCCACUACCAGAUGGACCUGCGUUGUAUUAGCUAGUUGGUGAGGUAACGGCUCACCAAGGCGACGAUACAUAGCCGACCUGAGAGGGUGAUCGGCCACACUGGGACUGAGACACGGCCCAGACUCCUACGGGAGGCAGCAGUAGGGAAUCUUCGGCAAUGGACGGAAGUCUGACCGAGCAACGCCGCGUGAGUGAAGAAGGUUUUCGGAUCGUAAAGCUCUGUUGUAAGAGAAGAACGAGUGUGAGAGUGGAAAGUUCACACUGUGACGGUAUCUUACCAGAAAGGGACGGCUAACUACGUG